CCUUCCUAAAUUGAAGGCAGAUCUGGAGGCCUUUGUGGAAGGCUGGAACAACCAUCCACUCAGGACAGAGGGAAAUCGUACUCCGGAGCAGCUCUGGCAUACUGGAAUGAUGCUUUACCCAAUGGAUCAGCCAGAGAAUCUUGAGGAUAUCCACGAGCCUGACAUUGACUGGGACGUUGCUGCUGAGUAUGGAGAACAUGUGGAUGGUGCGGUAGUAGUUCCUGAAUUUCCAUGUCCACUCAAUGAACAGCAACUGGCAGCGCUGCAGUUGCUGCUUGAAAAUGAAGCUGGGAGUGACACUACAGAACUUUUUCUGCUCUGUCGGGAAUAUGUGGCCACAGCUUUGUCAGGGGCUGUGUAACCUACUAAUGAACAUUGUAUAUUUGGCCUCAACAAUAAAUGAACAUUGUUAUGACCAUGGC